UUCACCCCUGCGGGGGUUGGAUCCCGGUCAGUCAUAUAGGUGUGUUCGGUUAAACCCGGCGGAGGUCGAACCCCGGCCUAUUCCCUCCGAAACCACUGGGUUUUCACCGGGAAAAAACCCUCUCCUCCCAUCCCGUGGAAACCAAACCCUGCCCGACGAACGACAGACAAAAAACGGAGUCCUUCAAUCGACCCCUGUCUCUCCCGCGAUUCGAUGGCAGCAGUGGUGGCGCGGCGGUAACCUCGAGGCGGCGGCGGCGGCCCUCACCUCUCCGUAUGGCGACCAUCUCGCCGGAUUAGGGAUUUUGGGGAUUAACCGAAUGAAUCUAAAGUGACGGGGAUUAGAAGGAAAGGAAAUAAUGAGGAUUGGGUGACGGGGUGGCUGUCACCAAACCCCUGCGUGGAUUGAAUCCACUAGGGGAUUGAAUCUCCAUCAACCGAACAAGGCCUCAGCUGAUUCCGGGUAACACAACACAUCAGUCAUUUAGCAUAUCUUUUGCAUGCACCGUUCGUUCGCACGGUGGUGUAGACAUACAAAGAGUGAGAUUAAAAAGUGGACAUCAUCCGAUUUUAA